rnacentral:rRNA from 1 species
UACGUAGGGUGCAAGCGUUGUCCGGAAUUAUUGGGCGUAAAGAGCUCGUAGGUGGCGGGUCACGUCGGGUGUGAAAGCCCGGGGCUUAACCCCGGGUCUGCAUUCGAUACGGGCUUGCUAGGGUCCGGCAGGGGAGACUGGAAUUCCUGGUGUAGCGGUGAAAUGCGCAGAUAUCAGGAGGAACACCGGUGGCGAAGGCGGGUCUCUGGGCCGGUACUGACGCUGAGACGCGAAAGCGUGGGGAGCGAACAGG